UCCCAUCACAAAGCGCCAGCGCCUGUCCUAUACGGGCAGGACGACGAGGAGAAGGGAGUAUCGAAAGGACAGAACUCUGUCCCGUAAAUUCGGCGGAUGCCCUUCCGUGCCCGGUCCGGGCGCGUACUCAGCCUACAAAUAUGCGGGUGACCGCAAAACAGAAGGGCUGGGACCGGAUAAC
rnacentral:ncRNA from 2 species